UACAGAGGGCUCAAGCGUUAAUCGGAAUCACUGGGCUUAAAGGGUCCGCAGGCGGAUUGGAAAGUAUCUUGUGAAAUACCACGGCUCAACCGUGGAACUGCUCGGUAAACUUCCAACUUAUACGAGGGCGGCAUCGGAACUCUAGGUGGAGCGGUGAAAUGCGUAGAUAUCUAGAGGAACGCCAGAGGCGAAGGCGGAUGGCUGGGCCGUUGUUGACGCUCAGGGACGAAAGCAUGGGUAGCGAACGGGAUUAGAUACCCGUGUAGUCC
rnacentral:rRNA from 1 species